AGUCCCAGCCCACCUCUGCGCCUCACCUGCACCGGUCAGGGGAAUCACGAGGAGCGCGCACGGCCGCCGAGCGGAAAUGCCCAGCUGGGCGGGUGUCGCAACCAAACCGCCCCGGCGGCGCUCCCUUCGGGCGGCCUGCCGCUCCGCCCUCCCCUGCAGCGCCAUGAAGCACACCUGGCCGCGUGCAAACCUCUUUCCACGUGCGGAAGCCGUGCAGGAGGAUGUCCCCUUGCAAAGCAAGAGAUCUGUUCCUUUGGGGAAGGAGAACAAGGAAGCUCAGAAAAUCGGUUAUAGACUGGACAGAGAAUUCUGUGAAAAGAAAACAGCUGCCUAGAUUGGGCCGAAUAAUUCAGAAAACAAACCUGACAAACAGGCUUUUUAGUAGCAGUUAGAAAAUGGGGGAUUUUUGUUCCAUGUAAGACAGAAAGAGAGCCCAGUUACCCAGCUUUCCCUCCAGCCUUUGUAUAUCAUAUGCUAAGACAAUGAAGCCAGAUUAAAACAGCCACUGCCACCAAGUGACAAACAUGUAGGAAACAAGUAGAAGUUUCCACAAUGAAAGGUACUUCUAAUAUCAUUAAAAGUUCCAAAUAUUCUGCUGAGGUUGAAGAUUGCUAAAGCUAAAAUGUAUAAACACAUAAAGAUUCACGUUCAUUUUUAAAGAAAUACCUUCGAGUGCCACAUGAUCCUUUCUUUGUUAACUUAGAACUGUAUCAUGAGGUUGAUAUUAAAUACAACAUAUGUCUAAACCUAAAAAACUAAAAUAACUGCCAAUAAAUUCAGUACUUGGAAUCUCUCACACAGUAGGCUUGAUGAACACAAUUUCCAUUUGGCCCAGUUCAAUAACUAAUAUUGGGCACUUACCACAUGCAAGGAACUGUGGGUAAUAACAAUGCAGGCCAAGGACUACCUACCCUGAUAACUCAAUC
ensembl:processed_transcript